AUGCAAGCGUUAUUCGGAAUUAUUGGGCGUAAAGCGUCUGUAGGUGGUGAGGAAAGUGUUUUGUUAAAGAUCAGGGCUCAACCCUGAGAAAGCAGAGCAAACUAUCUCACUUGAGUUCGGUAGGGGCAGAGAGAAUUCCCAGUGUAGCGGUGAAAUGCGUAGAUAUUGGGAGGAAGACCAGUGGCGAAGGCGUUCUGCUGGGCCGUAACUGACACUGAGAGACGAAAGCUAAGGUAGCAAAUAGGAUUAGAUACCCUAGUAGUCUUAGCUGUAAACGAUGCACACUAUGUUUUGCAAUUUGCAGAGCAAUAGCUAACGCGUUAAGUGUGCCGCCUGGGGAGUACAUUCGCAAGGAUGAAACUCAAAGGAAUUGACGGGGACCCGCACAAGCGGUGGAGCAUGUGGUUUAAUUCGAUGCAACGCGAAGAACCUUACCAAGAAUUGACAUGCUGCGAACAUUUAUGAAAGUAAAAAGUCUAUUAACUUAGUUAAUAGCGCAGACACAGGUGGUGCAUGGUUGUCGUCAGCUCGUGCCGUGAGGUGUUAGGUUAAGUCCUGCAACGAGCGCAACCCUUGUCUUUAGUUAUUUACUAGAGAGACUGCCGGUGAUAAACCGGAGGAAGGUGAGGAUGACGUCAAAUCAGCAUGCCCCUUACAUCUUGGGCGACUCACGUGCUACAAUGGUCAGGACAAAGAGAUGCUACCCUGCGAAGGCAGCUAACCUCAAAAACCUGAUCUCAGUCGAUGAG
rnacentral:rRNA from 1 species